GCCUGGAUGGCUCAGUCGGUUGAGCAUCUGACUUCGGCUCAGGUCAUGAUCUCGGCAGUUCGUGAGUUUGAGCCCACAUUGGGCU
rnacentral:tRNA from 1 species